rnacentral:rRNA from 1 species
GACGAACGCUGGCGGCGUGCUUAACACAUGCAAGUCGAGCGGUAAGGCCCUUUCGGGGGUACACGAGCGGCGAACGGGUGAGUAACACGUGGGUGACCGGCCCUCAGCUCUGGGAUAAGCCUGGGAAACUGGGUCUAAUACUGGAUAUGACUCCACGGUGCAUGUCGUGGGGUGGAAAGCCUUGUGCGGCUGAGGAUGGGCCCGCGGCCUAUCAGCUUGUUGGUGGGGUGAUGGCCUACCAAGGCGACGACGGGUAGCCGGCCUGAGAGGGCGACCGGCCACACUGGGACUGAGACACGGCCCAGACUCCUACGGGAGGCAGCAGUGGGGAAUCUUGCGCAAUGGGCGAAAGCCUGACGCAGCGACGCCGCGUGAGGGAUGACGGCCU